rnacentral:lncRNA from 1 species
UACCCCUUUCUAUUCGCCUUCUCCCCUCUGUAUCUCCAUGCAGAGAACCACCAAUUUGUCCAGAAUUACAAACCAAAAAAUUACAAACCAAAAACGGGCCAAUCUGAAUUCUAAACCCUAGAUUAUUAUCUAAGAUCUGUAUUUUUUGUCCAGAAAAUUACAAACCAAAAACGGGCCAAUCUGUAUUCUAAACCCUAGAUUAUUCUCUAGAUCAUUCAGAAGUGUUCUCGCUUGAAAAAGGAGAGUGUUCAUUAUAUUGACUUUGGAGGUUCUGAAUUACUGAUUAUAACUUUAUGCACAAUAUUGAUUUUGUUUUUUCCCUCUUUCUCUUUCUUUCUUUCUUUUCUCUUUUAAAUCAAAGUGGAUAUAGAAAUAUAGAUGAUCUAAUGAUGGGUUUGUACUCUUUUUUUCAGAAUGUCUAUCGGAGUUGGUUUGGUUUGAUUGCGUCAGCGUUAUAUAGCUCGCUGUGAGUUUGGAUAUUCCUUGCCUUUUCUACCUUUUUAAGACCUACUAUCAUUCCUCUUUUAGUAUAUAUGCGAUUUUUUUCCAAGUCACAAGUAGAUGCUGCUAUUUUUGUUGGUUCAUUGUUGUGUGAUAAGUUUUCUAAUGCGAUAUGUAAGGGUGACAAGUGGGCCGGUCCAGGCCCGGGAUCGCGGGCUAAACGGGCGAGGACCGUUUGGCCCGAUUUUAGUGGGCUUGGGCCGGUCCUAUGAUUUGGGCCCGCAGGCCCGGGACCAUUUAGCCCGUCCGGGACCGGAUCGGUCUUUUAGCGNNNNNNNNNNNNNNNNNNNNNNNNNUAUGUUGGGCCCACUUAGCCCGCGGGCCGGGACCAAACGGUCCCGGUCCCUACAAAAAGCCUGUUUGGCCCGGGCCCGCUUGGCCCGUUUAAUUUGGGACCGGCCCGGGACCGUUUGAACCGGCCCACUUGGCCCGUUUAGGCCCGGGACCGGCCCACUUGCCAGCCCUAGCCGUAUAUAAUUAAUUUCCUGGUACAAAGAAAGGUGAAUAACAUUUUCCUUUGGUUACGCCGAAGUUGGGGAUGGAAAGAAAACUCGCGUUAUUACCUGAAUAUAUCCCGGAAUUAUCUAUUUAGUUCGCCAUUUGACCGCUCUUUCUUUUUGUGUGUGUUAUAUUGGAUACAUUGCCUGAAUUUGAUCUAAAACAAAAGGAAAAAGAUGCUUGUACGCACAUUACAUUUGCUAACUCAUGAAUCGAUCAAAAGCUACUUCGAUGAAGCUUCCUUUACAUUCCGUUUUCAUUCAAUUUUCUACUGAAAGUUAUCCAUUCAAUUUGGAAAGAGAAAAACAACAAAGUUUUCAACAAAGAAGAAAGAAGUGCAGACAGCAUAGCCAAGGAAAUAGCUUGUGUCUGUCACAUUAGAGCGUUUGUAGUGUCUAGGAGCUUUGUUUUUAGAGUAGUUGGAUAAAUUCUAUUUGAUUUUGUGCUUCUACUAUUUUUGGUAGAAGGGUAAGAAGAAACUCUCCCUAGGAGGUGUGCUUUUUAGCUCUUAUUAAGACAGGAUUAGCAGAGUGUUUCUUUUGUUUUGAGAUACUGAUUGACAGAAAGCUGAGAUGGCUUAACUGUGGGUUUGUAAUAUAUUCACUUGGUGAUAAAUAAAAUUCUUAAUUACCAAAAAAAAAAAAGGUUCUCAUUAAAGGUAUCAUUGGAAUCCAAAAAUUAAGAAUUUCCUUAUUAGGAAUGGGUUUGUUCUUUUUGAAACUGACUAAAAAAGAAAUAAAUUCACAUAAAUUGAAAUGGACGGAAUAUUAAAAACUAAGUGUUUAUUAUGGCUUUUCUUUUUUCCAAAGGACGUUAUACAGGGCCACACUAACUUCAGUCUCCAAAUCAAGUACACUGUCGCUCGCUGAUCUGUAAUGGCCCUUUUGGAAAAGGGGAAAGACCAUAAUAAGUAUUUAGUAAUUAUACUCUCUUGCCUCUAUCUUCUUUAUUUGGGGGGGGGGAAUACUCUCCUUUGAAAAUAAAGUAAUGUAUUAAGAAAUUGGAUAUGUCAUAAUAUUGCAAACCAAACUUAAAAUGCGUUUGAAUAUUUAUUGAAAAAUUGUAGCCAUCAUAGUCAAGGAAUCUCUUUUUCAUUAGCUUAUAAAAUUGGAUAGGGAGAAAUUAAAUUUACUGUUGUUGGUUAUGUUACAACAUUAAGAACUCGAUGAAGAAAUAAGGGUAUGAAGUGUUAGUAUCCUUCCCAACUAUGAUGGAUUAUUAAAUUUGGUGUUAUUGGAGCAGUUAAUGGAGCCAGGUGCAAGGGGGUCUUAUUUGAAGGAUUCAGAGGAGACAGAAAUGUACAAGAAGCAUAAGGAUAACACGGAGUGGUAUACGAUUGAGCACUUAGCAAAAGAUUACAGGAUCAUGAGGCAGAGGAUUCAUGCAAUUCUAUGGCCGAAGGAAUUUGAGGAGGAGGAAGAGAAGAAGCUUGGACGUCCAUUAGAUGAUUCUGUAGAGCUCUUGCUUGAUACUUGCCCAGAGUAAGUCAUCCCUCCGAAUCAUUCGAGAUUUUGUCGUUAGAUAUUACUUUUGUCCAAGUUUAAUCUGUUCUUUUUUGUACCUUAUUUUUAGUACCAUCUUGGUUACCUUUUAUAAAAUUUUACCUUAUAAAAAAGUACUAUUAUUGUAGUUUUGUUACACCAGCAUUAGCGUUAGUGCCAUAUAUGAUUGGUUAGUGAUGGGUCCAUCCCAUAAUUUAAGGAAGAUGACUUUCUUCCUUCGAUAAAGACUUCUAAGUCUUGUACAAAAUUGGCGGCCACCGUUUCUUUUGAUAUUAUCAACAUUGGAGGCGUGAGAGGAAAAUAUCAAAUAUAAUAAGCGUGAGAGAGUUCGGCUCUGCUUAUAAAGGGAGAGCUUCGGCUCUCAUCUCUACACAUCAAUCUCAGAGGAAAAAUAUCUAAGAGUUAGAAAGAAAGAGUGAGGUUUCACAGACAGGGUAUAAGAAAAUAGUGUGUGAGAAAAAUAGAGAGUGAGCGAUAUUGUAGUGAGGUGGGAAUAUCAAACGAGAGUUAUUUCUUUUGAGUGUUGUAGUGGUCUUUGGAGUAUUUUACUCGAACCUGCAAAGUGUAAGAAUUCCUUGCUAUAGUGAUAUCAGUUGCUCCUCUCGGGAUCGUGAUUUUUUCCCUUAUUAGAAAAAGUUUUUCACGUAAAAAUCUUGGUGUCGUUGUCACUCUUUUAUUCUUGUUAAUUACCGUAUCCCGGUGCUACGUUAUUAUUCCACUUUUAUUACCGUGAAUAUUAUUUCUGUAGGGGGUUUAUUUCCAACAACUGGUAUCAGAGCACAGGUUUUGCUCGUUCACAGAAAUACUAUUCAAUCUCGGUAGUACUAUACUCGGUGAAAAACAAAAAUGUCCGAAGUAAAGUACGAGGUAGCAAAAUUCAACGUAGAUAAUGGUUUCUCAACAUGCCAAAGAAGGAUGAGGGAUCUGCAUGUUGAUGCCAAAAAGCCUGAUACCAUGAAAGCUGAGGAUUGAGCUGACUUAGAUGAAAGGGCUGCUAGUGCAAUCAGGUUGCGCUUAUCAAAUGAUGUGGUAAAUAACAUCAUUGAUGAAGACACCGCACGUGAAAUUUGGAUAAGGUUGGAAAGCCUAUACAUAUCCAAAAUGCUGAUAAAUAAAUUGUACCUGAAGAAGUAAUUAUACGCCCUACACAUGGGUGAAGGUACGAAUUUUUUGUCACAUUUAAAUGUGUUUAACGAACUAAUCACAUAGCUCGCCAACCUCGGAGUAAAAAUCGAGGAAGAAGAUAAAGUCAUCUUGCUAUUAAACUCGUUUCCAUCUUCGUACGAUAAUUUGGCAACAACCAUCCUGCACGAUAAGACUACCAUUGAGUUGAAAGACGUCACAUCGGCUCUUCUACUCAAUGAGAAGAUGAGAAAGAAGCCUGAAAAUCAAGGACAAGCUCUCAUCACAAAAAGUAGAGGCAGUGGUUAUCAAAGGAGUUCGAGCAACUAUGGUAGAUCCGGAGCUCGUGGGAAGUCUAAGAACCGAUCCAAAUCAAGAGCUAGAAAUUGCUACAAUUAUGGUCAACCAGGUCACUUCAAAAGAGAUUGCCCAAAUCCAAGGAAGGGCAAAGGUGAAACCAGUGGCCAGAAGAAUGACGACAUCACAACCGCCAUGGUGCAAAACAAUUAUAAUGUUGUCCUCUUUAUAAAUGAGGAAGAGGAAUACAUACACUUAUUAGGUCUAGAGUCGGAAUGGGUGGUUGAUACAGCAGCAUCUUACCAUGCCACACCGGUAAGAGAUUUUUUUGCAGAUAUGUAGCAGGUGAUUUCGGCACUGUGAGAAUGGGUAACANNNNNNNNNNNNNNNNNNNNNNNNNNNNNNNNNNNNNNNNNNNNNNNNNNNNNNNNNNNNNNNNNNNNNNNNNNNNNNNNNNNNNNNNNNNNNNNNNNNNNNNNNNNNNNNNNNNNNNNNNNNNNNNNNNNNNNNNNNNNNNNNNNNNNNNNNNNNNNNNNNNNNNNNNNNNNNNNNNNNNNNNNNNNNNNNNNNNNNNNNNNNNNNNNNNNNNNNNNNNNNNNNNNNNNNNNNNNNNNNNNNNNNNNNNNNNNNNNNNNNNNNNNNNNNNNNNNNNNNNNNNNNNNNNNNNNNNNNNNNNNNNNNNNNNNNNNNNNNNNNNNNNNNNUCAUUGGUGAUUGCAAAGGGAGUUGCUCUUGGCAUAUUGUACAGGACAUAUGCAUAAAUAUGCCAAGGUGAAUUGAACGCGACACAAGAUGAGAUUUCUGCAGAUUUGUGGCAUAAAUGGGUCAUAUGAGCGAGAAGGGAUUGCAGAUUCUUGCCAGAAAAUCACUCAUUUCUUAUGCCAAAAGUACAACGGUAAAACCUUGUGACUACUGUUUAUUUGGUAAGCAGCAUAGAGUCUCAUUGAUGUCUGAAAGAAAAUUGAAUAUACUUGAUUUGGUAUAUUCUGAUGUUUGUGGUCCAAUAGAAAUUGAAUCGAUGGGCGGUAACAAAUAUUUUGUUACUUUUAUUGAUGAUGCUUCAUGAAAAUUAUGGGUUUAUAUUUUGAAAACCAAAGAUCAGGUGUUUCAAGUUUUCCGGAAGUUUCAUGCUAUGAUGGAAAGGGAGACGGGCCAAAAGCUAAAGCGUCUCCGAAGUGACAAUGGAGGUUAGUACGCUUCAAGGGAAUUUGAAGAGUACUGUUCGAGCCAUGAAAUCAGACAUGAAAAGACAGUUCCUGGAACCCCACAACACAAUGGCAUAGCCGAAAGGAUGAACCACACCAUUGUGGAGAAGGUGAAAAGCAUGCUCAGAAUGGCUAAACUGCCUAAAUCAUUCUGGGGUGAAGCAGUUCGGCCAGCAUGUUACCUGAUCAAUAGGAGUCCAUCAGUUCCGUUGGCGUUUGACAUCCUAGAGAGAAUUUAGACCAAUAAGGAGGUGUCCUACUCGCAUCUGAAGGUGUUCGGUUGCAGAGCUUUUGCACAAGUACCAAAGGAGCAGAGAACAAAGUUGGAUGAUAAAUUUGUUCCCUGCAUAUUCAUCGGAUAUGGAGAUGAAGAGUUCGGAUACAGAUUGUGGGAUCCUAUAAAGAAGAAGGUCAUUAUUUCUAACCUUGUUACUAUUCCUUCAACUUAUGACAAUCCCACAAGUGCAUAAAGUACGAUCGACGAGUUUGCCGAGUAUGGGGAGCAACCUGGUGAGGUUAUUGAGAAAGGGGAGCAACUUCAUGAUGAUGUCGAGCAAGUGGAGUACCACACUCAGGAAGAAGAACAACCUCAACUCAUGCAGGUACCCUUUCACAGAGUAUGUCUUCAUCAGUGAUGAAGGGGAGCCAAAAAGUCUUAAGGAGGUGUUGUCUUAUUCAGAAAAUAACCAGUGGAUGAAUGCCAUGCAAGAAGAGAUGGAAUCUCUACAGAAAAAUGGCACGUACAAGCUGGUUGAACUUCUAAAAGGUAAAAGACACUCAAAUUCAAAUGGGUCUUUAAACUCAAGAAAGAUGGAAAUGAAAAGCUAGUCAGAUACAAAGCUCGAUUGGUGGUUAAAGGCUUCGAACAUAAGAAAGGUAUUGAUUUUGAUGAAAUUUUCUCACCUGUUGUCAAAAUGACUUCUAUUCGAACAAUUUUGAGCUUAGCAGCUAGCCUAGAUCUUGAAGUGGAGCAGUUGGAUUUGAAGACUGCAUUUCUUCAUGGAGAUUUGGAAGAGGAGAUUUAUAUGGAGCAGCCAAAAGGAUUCGAAGUAGCUGGAAAGAAACACAUGGUGUGCAAAUUGAAUAAGAGUCUUUAUGGAUUGAAGCAAGCACCAAGUCAGUGAUACAUGAAGUUUGACUCAUUCAUGAAAAGUCAAACAUACAUAAAGACCUAUUCUGAUCCAUAUGUAUGCUUCAAAAGAUUUUCUGAGAAUAACUUUAUUAUAUUGUUGUUGUAUGUGGAUGACAUGUUAAUUGUAGGAAAAGACAAGGAGCUGAUCGCAAAGUUGAGGGGAAAUCUAUCCAAGUCAUUUGAUAUGAAGGAUUUGGGCCCAACACAACAAAUUCUGGGUAUGAAGAUAGUUCGAGAGCGAACAAGUAGAAAGUUGUGGCUGUCUCAGGAAAAGUACAUUGAACGUGUACUGGAACGCUUCAACAUGAAGAAUGCUAAGCCAGUCAGCACACCUCUUGCUAGUCAUCUAAAGUUGAGCAAGAAGAUGUGUCCUACAACGGUGGAGGAGAAAAGGAACAUGGCUAGAGUUCCUUAUUCUCCAGCAGUCGGAAGCUUGAUGUAUGCAAUGGUAUGCACCAGACCUGAUAUUGCUUAUGUAGUUGGUGUUAGCAUAUUCCUUGAAAUUGGGAAACAGUCAAGUGGAUACUCAUGUACCUAAGAGGUACUGUAAGAGAUUGCUUGUGUUUUGGAAGAUCUGAUCCAAUCUUGAAAGUGAUCUUGAUAAUCAUAAAUCUACUACAGGAUACAUGUUCACAUUUUCAGGGGGAGCUAUAUCAUGGCAGUCAAAAUUGCAGAAGUGUGUUGCACUCUCUACAACUGAAGCAGAGUAUAUUGCCACUACUGAAGCUGGCAAGGAGAUGAUUUAGCUGAAAGGGUUCCUUAGAGAGCUUGGACUACAUCAAAACGAGUAUGCCGUCUAUUGUGACAGUCAAAGUGCAAUAGACAUGAGCAAAAACACCAUGUAUCAUGUAAGGACGAAGCAUAUCGACGUGAGAUAUCACUGGAUUCGAGAAAGAAUAGCGGAUGGAUCUAUACAUGUCAAGAAGAUCCAUACAAGUGAGAAUCUUUCGGAUAUGCUGACAAAGGUGGUACCAAGAGACAAGUUCGAGCUAUGCAAAGAACUUGUCGGCAUGCACUCAAACUAGAAACUCUGAUUUUACCUCCUUCAGGCAAAUGAGACUAGAGGGGGAGAAUUGAUGGGUCCAUCCCAUAAUUUAAGGAAGAUGACUUUCUUCCUUUGAUAAAGACUUCCAAUAGCAUGUUUGGCCAAGCUUCUAAAAUCAGCUUAUUUUGAGAAGUGUUUUUAUCAAAAGUACUUUUUAAAAAAGUAUUUUUGGUGAGAAGCAGUUUGUGUUUGGCUAAUUAAUUUGAAAAACACUUUUGAGCAAUAAUUAGUGUUUGGCCAAGCUUUUGAAAACUGCUUUUAAGUGUAUUUUUUUCAAAAGUGCUUCUCAGAAAAGUGCUUUUGGAGAGAAGUUUUUUUCUGCUUCUCAAAAACUGUUUCUGAUUCUCCUCAAAAGUACUUUUUUUCCUUCCAAAAGCUUGGCCAAACAAAAAGCACUUUUGGCCCAAAAAGAAGCUUGGCCAAACAGGCUAUAAGUCUUUUUCAAAAUUGACAGCCACCGUUUCUUUUGAUAUUGUCAACAUUGUAGGCGUUACACGAAAAUGUCAAAUAUAGUAGGCGUGAGAGAGUGUGGCUCCGCCUAUAAAAGGAGAGCUUCGGCUCUCAUCUCUACACACCAAUCUCAGAGGAAAAAUAUAUCUGAGAGGUAGAAAGAAAGAGUGGUGUUUCACAGACAGGGUAUAAGAAAAUAAUUUGUGAGAAAAAUAAAGAGUGGGCGAUAUUGUAGUGAGGUGGGAAUAUCAAACGAGAGUUAUUUCUUUUGAGUGUUGUAGUGGUCUUUGAAGUAUUUUACUCGGACCUGCAAAGUGUAAAAAUUUCCUUGAUAUAGUGAUAUCAGUUGCUCCUCUCGGGGUCGUGGUUUUUUCCCUUAUUUAAAAGGGUUUUUCACGUAAAAAUCUUGGUGUCGUUGUCACUCUUUUAUUCUUGUUAAUUAUCGUAUCUCGGUGCUACGUUAUUAUUCCGCUUUUAUUACCGUGAAUAUUAUUUCUGUUGGGAGUUUAUUCCCAACAGUUAGUCCAUGGUAUAUCAAAUUGGCUUCAGUAGUGGCUUAUCGCUGAUCGAGUGAAGCUGGGGCUGAAAACUUUUAGAAUUCUGAUUGUGUGUGUGUUCUUUUAGGGCAUUCAGAAUAUUAAAGGAGCAUGUGUUCGUUAUAUUUACAACAGGUGUUAGUGACAUAAUUAUUGGCUGACCACAAUGUGACUGAGAUUGGUGGAAAUAUUUUGAAGUAAUAAAAUAGUCUUGCACUUUCCUGAGAAAUAAUAGUAACAGGCAAAUUCAGGUAAUCAAUAGAAUCCCUACCUCUGAAAUCAAUCUUAUCAAAAAGAAUAAGAAAAUCCCUACCUCUCAAACAAUGAAGCCAAAAUUUUCAAAAGCUAAGCUUUUCAUGACAUGUACAGGAAGGUAUGGUAGGAAUUUGGGGGGGGGGGGAGUUAUUGAUUUUUUUUUUAUAUUUAAACCUUUUAGCUGCUUAGGAUCUGAUUUGUACAAUUAGUUGAUAAAUGGAAAAUGUUUCUGCUUGAAAGCUGCUGUAGAACAAAUUCUCUACUAUUGAAUUGUUUAAAUAAGUAAAUCUGCUUCUUACAUACUUAUCUUUUCACAUAGCCUUUUUCGUCAUCUACGCUGCUUCUUAUACACUUCUCUUUACACGGCAUUUUUCUAUAUUUAUUUCUUUAUACGUUCUUUCUGACAUAGUAAUUUCUUGCUUUGGCUUUGUCGUAAUAGGUCACCAUGUUGUAAAUGUGAAGACUAAAGAGAAGCACUAAUUCAACCGCCUUUUCCAUUUUGAGUUUGGGGUAGGUGUUGAGUUGUAACACCAUUAAAAGGACCAUAAAGAUAUGACAUGUAAUGUCAAUUGUCCUUUGAUAUUUUAGGGACAUCUAUUGUAGACUUUUGACGCAAUUACAUCUCAGAUGUUGAAAUAUGUAGUUUAGGAUGAAAAAAGCAGUUAAUUACAUGUAGUGUUGGUCACGGGAUAAGUCAAUCUGCAAGUCUUCUUGAAUUCUUAUUUGUGAUGAGGGUUAUGAUUUGCUUAUUUUCCUCAAGAUGGUUACAUUUUUAAGACAACAGUGCUGCAAUAAUGAACUUCAUAUUCUUCAGCUUGAAGUGCU